UCCUCGAUUCAGCGGCGGACGGGUGAGUAAUGCCUAGGAAUCUGCCUAGUAGUGGGGGACAACGUUUCGAAAGGAACGCUAAUACCGCAUACGUCCUACGGGAGAAAGUGGGGGAUCUUCGGACCUCACGCUAUUAGAUGAGCCUAGGUCGGAUUAGCUAGUUGGUAGGGUAAAGGCCUACCAAGGCGACGAUCCGUAACUGGUCUGAGAGGAUGAUCAGUCACACUGGAACUGAGACACGGUCCAGACUCCUACGGGAGGCAGCAGUGGGGAAUAUUGGACAAUGGGCGAAAGCCUGAUCCAGCCAUGCCGCGUGUGUGAAGAAGGCCUUCGGGUCGUAAAGCACUUUAAGUUGGGAGGAAGGGCUCAUAGCGAAUACCUGUGAGUUUUGACGUUACCAACAGAAUAAGCACCGGCUAACUUCGUGCCAGCAGCCGCGGUAAUACGAAGGGUGCAAGCGUUAAUCGGAAUUACUGGGCGUAAAGCGCGCGUAGGUGGCUUGAUAAGUUGGAUGUGAAAUCCCCGGGCUCAACCUGGGAACUGCAUCCAAAACUGUCUGGCUAGAGUGCGGUAGAGGGUAGUGGAAUUUCCAGUGUAGCGGUGAAAUGCGUAGAUAUUGGAAGGAACACCAGUGGCGAAGGCGACUACCUGGACUGACACUGACACUGAGGUGCGAAAGCGUGGGGAGCAAACAGGAUUAG
rnacentral:rRNA from 2 species